AGUGCUAGUGCUUCAGCCUGUGUCUACUGCUUUGGCGCUCAUCUCGGGAGAAAUAUGAAGAAUAGCAGCUGACAAAGUGUCUGUAAAGAUGGGGCGAGAGCAACACUGAUAAUAAGGGGAGAACAAGAACGUGAGGCCCCAGGGAAGAGUUUCCUUGGAGGAGUCAGUCAUGCUGCAGCUGUAGAGCAGAAGUGAGUACUUGACAGUCAUGCAGAAUUUAAAAUCCAUCUUGGUUUUGAAGUCGUCAGGAUCACUGUCUACAGCAAAGGCAAAAACGUAACACUCCUUGACCUCGGUUGGCAACGCACAGGAGCGUGAAGAAGAGUUUUGGGAAAGUUUUGGUUCCUAUCUGAAUAAAAAAAUAUCACGGCAGAAAUACGGAGCAAUACACAAGCAGGAAAGAAUGAGCGUGAAAUCACCGUGCUGCUAACAUUACUGGGAUUUUUUUCAUUGGCCAAAAUGGCACAAGGAUCUGACGCUGGAAGUAGUGUUAUCAAACAACUGGCAUUCACCUUGGGCUUUCUCUGAAUAGAAUUGAGGCGGUUAUUUACUUCGUCCUGAUAAGACGUUCCAGAUUUUCUAUUAUGUGGGGAUUCUUCAGAUUUUCUCAUUAUGAGAUAGUUACUCCAACUCACGGGGAAAACAAAGACAGAGAAAAUAAUCAGCUUACUGAUAGCCGGAUUGUACCAAAAGAGUUUGGGGAGUACUGGCUACUAUAACAAGUCCCUAUCUUGUUCACCCCUAUUACGGGCCUGUCACUCAGCCGUUAGCGAACGACUGCACUGAAAUCUGCAAGUGGAGUUUGACUAAACAUUUGCAGGCUCAGGUAGACGCAUCUUUGGAAAGAUUGUGUGAACCUAUUAUUCAUGUUGCGUAUUAUCCACAAUGCUCUAUAGUGUAAUACCAGGGAUGCAAUUACAGUGUUUUGAAAGCCAGACAGUAAAUUCAGGUAGACUUCAACAAUUUCUUUCAUUUUACACAGGUCUCCAGUUAACUUUAAGGAGCAACUCAGAGGAACUAGGUGAAGUGGGCAAGUGCCCUGGAGAACGCUGGCUUAGUUGGAAUUUUGAUUGUGUAAAUGUGGCCCUUUAGUAUUUGCUACCACAUGGCUGAUUUGUUAAUACUUUAAGCAUGCACAUGUACAUUUAAAGUCACAUACUGCUAAGGAAAUAUCAACCUGACCCUAGGCACAUAGUCUUUUGGCUGUCUUCAGGAUCAGAACACUGUUUUGUGGUAGGAUUAUUUUAGAAAUGAAGCUUGGUCAGAAACAUAAGAUGGAAGUUUGCAAAAUUGGCAGUGUGAUUUCCUUGGCCAGUGCAACAACUUUCAUAACCAUUUUACCUUUUAGAAAGUAAAUGCUGACAUCAAACUUAAGCACAGUCCAAAUGGCUAUAUUUAAUGGCCUGAUUAUAUGGACAUAUCUGACUCUUAGUAAUACUGUGAAAGAAAUGCAUUGUAGAUAUUGAUUGCUAGUGUAAUUAUGAGUCAUUUCCUCUGAUAUAAUGCUUGUGCCAAUGAAGGUUAGGAUGCCCAAGGGGCUGUUUUAGGCUAAAAGAAAUGGAAAGGGAGUGUGCCCUGUAGAAUGACAAUGACUUUCAUUCAGAAAACAUCUUUACAGGAUAGCUUGGCUUUGAGAAGAAAAGGAUUUACAUCCCUUCUAAUAUGGAACUGGCAUAAUAAGAAACAAAACUAAAAAUGGCAAAAAAGAGCAAGAUACCAUACUUCCAAAGGCUUUGUAAUAUUAAAUAUACUUGAAAAAACAAAUCACGGUUUAGAUUUAACUGUUGCAUGAAAUAUGACAUUUAAUAGCCUUUAAUACAGUUUGACCUGGUACCAUCAGGACAGCUAGUAUGUUCUGUGCUGCUGCUCGCCCUCAGGAAUUACUUUUCACAGAUAAAUAUCAUGUCAUGUGGACCCUGUUUUCUUAUAUGGAGUUUCACACAUCUGUUCUAAUUGUUCUAUCAAUGAAAAUAAAUCUUUUGACUUGGUGCAUAAGAAAAUAAAGGAUGAUGGA